GCCAGUAUGGCAUAGUAGUUUGAGUGUUGGACUAUGACUCUGGAAACCAGGGUUCGAUUCCCGGCUCUGCCA
rnacentral:tRNA from 1 species